rnacentral:rRNA from 1 species
UACGGAAGGGGCAAGCGUUGUUCGGAAUCAUUGGGCGUAAAGGGCGCGUAGGUGGUUCUGUAUGUCUACCGUGAAAGCGUACGGCUCAACCGUAUUUUGUCGGUAGAAACUGCAGGACUUGAGGCUGGGAGGGGCUGGUGGAAUUCCGGGUGUAGCGGUGGAAUGCGUAGAGAUCCGGAAGAACACCGGUGGCGAAGGCGGCCUGCUGGGCAGUUGCUGACACUGAGGCGCGACAGCGUGGGGAGCAAACAGG